GUAGGAAUACCCGCUGAACUUAAGCAUAUCAAUAAGCCGGAGGAGGCCCCCCCCCCCCCCCCCCCCCCCCCCCUCCCCCCCCCC
rnacentral:rRNA from 1 species